rnacentral:misc_RNA from 1 species
UAUGACCCUAGCUCUCUUCAGGACUUCUGUGUAGCCAUCAAUGGCAGCAAAGAUGGUGUGUUUGUCAAUGGAAACUUCUGCAAGGACCCAAUGAUUGUAACGGCAGACGAUUUCUCAUUUUCUGGUCUCAAUAUUCCUCUAAAUACAACAAACCAAAUUGGAUUCAACAUUACUCUCUUAAAUGUUGAUACAGUACCAGGACUUAACACUCUUGGCAUAGCCAUGGCUCCUAUAGACUAUGCAGCAAAUGGAGGCGAAA